UCCCUGGUGGCUCAGAUGGUAAAGCAUAUGCCUGCAAUGUGGGUGACCCAGGUUCGAUCCCUGGGUAGGGAA
rnacentral:tRNA from 1 species